GCAUGGACAUGGUCCAUGGUCAGCUUUUCUGCUCACACUUAGAAAUUCUCUGAUGAAUAAGACAGAAAAAGUUCUAAGUCGAAAAAAUGGGAUUUUUUUUUUUAAAUUAUUAAUUCAUUACUGUCCUUAGUUUUAUGGUCAUAUAGGUAUUCAAAUUAAUUGAAAUGAAACAGGGAAUGUAACUAAAUAAAAUGUUUUCAUUUUGCAUAUUAAAAAAAAUGUAAAUUAGAAUUACAUCAUUUUAUUAAUUCAUCUUGACAGUUGAUGUAACGAGAUAUCAUACAUCAUUGAAAAUAUAUCCCACUAUAUAAGCUAUUUAUUUCUUUCAGUUUGUUACUGAACAUCUCAAACAAUGGCACCGAAAAAAAUACAGUAGUUCAUAAGGAUUAAAUGUCAUAUAGUCAAAGAAAUUGUUAUGAAAUUAUGCUCAUAUAAUUAUGUAAACUCAUCAUAUUAUAAACUGAAUUAGUCUAUAUGCCUUUGAUAAUCCAGGCAGUGAUUAAUUAUCUAGCUUUUUACAGCCAGUUAAUACACUGCUGUUCAAUGUGUACUGUUGUAUAAAUGAACACACAGAGAUAGCUAAUAACAUCUGGAGAUUCUGACCAAGAUAAAGACCAAUGGAAAUGCAGGCUUCUGAAGCCGUUUUACACAUGUAGCCCCAAGAAAUAAUCCCAAUACUUUUUUUUAUUUUUUUUCUGUGAUCUUUGCAAAUUCUGUGAGCAAAUAAAUGGAAAAAUUCUCACGAACUGUAUAUAUAUAUUUUAAGAACAUUCCAGAUAUUCCCUUCAGUAACUAUACUGUGCCAAGGAAUAUUGCUCAUGAAUACAAAAAUUUGAAUGUAAACAGGAAGUGCUUUGUUCUAGAUGUUGGAGGCAAAAUGGAAUGGAGCUAAAUAAUUUUGUACCUUGAAAUUCAAAAAUGCUUUUUGAGAGAUAUCAGAUACAAGAGUGUACAUAUUUAGUUAUUAGAAGCAUUGUCUUCAACAUGUAUGAAUGAAAUGAUGUAAUCAGAUAUUUGAUGGCUUUAGUGACUAUGCAGCAUGCUACAGGAUGAAAUGAGAUCACAGACAGAGACCCCAUCAAACACUAAACUAAAUGGCUGGAAUGAGGUUCCUGACCCUGGUGAUGGUUUUAGCAAAGCUAAUUAAGAGACAUUCUGGUGCCACCUAUAUUGAGCCAACAUAACUCCAAAAAUAAUUUUGUUGUAUUCAUAACUUUCUAUUAAAUAAUUUUAUAUUUAAUAUAUCUUGUAGUUUAAUUUUUUAGUUAAAGCUAAGUGAAUAUUUAUCAUUCUUAACCAGACAUCCACUUGUCUGAUAUGUAGAUUUGAACAAAUGCCCUGUUACGGUAGGAAGUUCAAGCCACAAUUGCCAGGCUAGGCUAAGAAGUGCUGCAUGAUGACAGGUCCUUGGAUGGCAUGGACCCAGUCCACGGAUGGCAUGGACACCAUCCAUGGAUGGCUUAGACACUGGACAAUGUCCAUGGAUGGCAUGGCCACUGUCCAUGGAUAUGCCCUGGACACUGGCCAUGGAUGCCAUGGACAUUGUCCAUGGCCACUGUCCCUGGACAGGCACGGAUUUUUAUCCAGGGAUACACAGUUUUUGUCCAUGGAUAUGUGUUCCAAUACUCCAUGGACAACAGACCAUGCUGAAAUCCAUGGAAUCCAUGGACAUACUACAGCCGGGUAAACAGCAACACCUGGUGCCAAACCACUCAAAGACAAUAUUUCGUUCCAGUUAAACUUCAAGCUCACAUUUCAGUUAACUGCAUUUAAUUUUAAAAGCUAAGCUUAUUACAGUAAGCAUAUCCUAUUCAAAAUAAAUUCUUUAGUCAGGAUCAAAGUAUCAUACAUUUGUUUUCUGUUAAAUUGAUUUUGACUAAUGAAAUUAUUUGCUUCUUAUUAACAUCCUUAACUUUUUGCCGGAUAUAUUUUUUUGCCAUUCCUCACCACAAACCCUUUCGGUGGGGGAUACCAAUUCAUCGAAUUUGCUUGUUAAAUUUUAAAUGAGAUCGAUUGUGCACGCUUCUGAUAAUAAUUAUGUUGUGGACACGUUAUUAUAAUUUUGGCGGGAAAGAAGCAUGUGCGUUUCAUGACGGAUAUUGUGUUGGCGGAAGGGCUACUCCAGCCUCUUCUCAAGCCAAUAUUAAUCAAAAAAGAAUUUGAAGCAGGAACUAAUAUUUCCUGUCCAUUUCUGGUCCUGGCAAUAAAACUUUUAGUAACGGUUACCUGUCUUAUUCUUUCGCCUCACCCGAUUAAUCUCGUAGGCGCUGCCACGGAAAACGAUACGAAUGCUGCCAUUUUUAUUCGAUGUCGCCUUGCAAAAUUCAUCAAUUUAUCGGGUGUUAAUAUGAAAAUAGCUCAGAAUCUCACAUUUCACGACUUGAAUUACAGACGGUAAACCAAAAUUCUGAACUCUAAGCACUAAAAAUGAAUUUAUUGCUGAUGCACUCUUUAUUAUAUUUUGUUGGGAAAAGAAUAAACAUGCGUUUCACGUCGUAAGUUCCCUCUUGUUGAAAAAUUCAUUAUUAAAUGUGUGCAUAUUUUCCUCGUAACAUUUCAACCUUUCAACAUUUAAAGGUGUAAGAGGCCGAUAUUUACUCUAAGUAAAGUUUCAGAAAUGUAGAUUGUCUUAGCACACAAUAUUUACGGAAGGAAAUUUGGAAAUUUUUAGAUCGACGUCCGGAGAUUAGAAGUGUAACUUUUUUCAGUAAAUCCUUCUAAACCACAUUUAAACCAUAAAUCCCUUGCCUCAUCAGAUAUCUUUCUCUCUCCCAACAUUAACUUCAUCUGUUAAAAAUAUCCAUGACAAAAUUAAAUUAUCAAAAACCUAUUAAAAGCCUAUGAAAUACGUUUUACACCACCACACUUCCUACCCAGACUGAGGUCUACCUCUCCCACAUAUAUUGAUAACAACAUGUUAGAAUUUUAGUCAUUAUAAUAGAAGAGCAGAAAGUUGCUUUAUUGUGUCAUCUAAAAUUUAGAUUUUUGUUCGCAUAUUCGCAAAAGUAUCAACAAGUCAGAUAUAAAAUGACGCAAGAUAUCUUCAUAUUUUUUAUUCAUUUGUCUUCAUGAGAAAUAUAAAAUAAUUAGUCAGAAGCAGUAGAAUAAUAAAAUGUAAUUGGCUUACCUACAUACCCAACUUCAAACAGUAGACUUGGGAGACAGCAAACAAAGACUUUUAUAAAUGUGGCCUUAGGUAAAAAACUAGGACUUAAGGUCAAAUUAUAAAGAAAACAAUGUUAAUGCUCUAAAGGAAGUGCAGUGUAUUUUAAGACCCAUAAUACUGCCUUGCUUACCUUUUGGAUUAUCUCCCUUAUAGGUGCACCUGGACACACGGUGUUUAGUAUGAGCUCUUCUGAUCACUCACCACCCGUAGGACUCCAUCCGUCCUAACUUUUCUCCUUGUAUAGCCCUUUACCAAAGUUUUUCAAAUGUUGUUCCCUGCAGAACUCUUGUUGCCAUUCCACGGUAUAUAAGCGGAAAAAGUGUCUAAAUAUUUUGGAAUUCAUGUUAUCUCGGGAAGGAACUUGGGCACUGCAUUAGGAGUGUUUCACCCAUUUUGUGUUCAUUGAUUAGGAAUUUGGCUUUAAAUGUUUAAGGUCAAGGUCACAUCACAUUGACUCAGAGAAUGAAACUGUUUUUGGAAGUUAUAAAGUGUAACAGCUACUGGCUUUCAGAAUUACACAAUGAUAUGGUAGAUCAGAGGAAUUAAUGUCCAUUGAUUUUGGGAUCAGUGGUUCAAACGUCAAGGUUGCAGGGACCUGACAUAAUUUCUGGUAAUCAUUAUGUUUUUGAACGCAGAAACUGUAACAGCUUUAGUUUUCUCAUUUUUUCUCACUUUUAUUGAUCACGUGGCAGCUCUUGAAGAGGACAACUUUAUAUUGUUUGUUGGGUCAGUAGGUUAAAGAUCAGGGUCAUAGUGACCAGGAAACUUAAUAUUGGUAUCUGAUUUCUAAGUAAUAAAGUAUACCAGCGUUGACUUUCAAACUUAACACAACAAAUACAUUCUGUAUGAGGAAUAUCCCUAUUGACCUUGGAGUCAGUAGCUUAAAGGUCAGAUGGACCUGAAUGUCAGUCUGGUAAUUUCCGGGAUCUAAAUCCCAAAGUGUAAUAGUGACAGCUUUCAAACUUUAUAAUUUAUGUUAACUAAACAUUUCUUGAAGAGGAUCUCUAUUUUUGUUGGGGGCAAAGAAAUAAAAGGUCAAGGUCAAAGAAAUCAGGAGACUUAAAUGUUUUUUGGACUGUAACUUAUCAAGUAUAAUAUCUAUAGCUUUAAGCAGUUACUGUAGGGUCAGUGACGCAACAGGUCAAGGUUAGAAAGUAUUCUUAAAUUUUGUCACUUCCAGUUCAGUUUGUUGAUAGAAAUGACAUCCCACAUCCCCGCACAUACACCACCCAACCCCUCUCCAGCCCUGUACAUUUUUCCUGCCCUGUCUGCUUACGCAUGGGGUAUUAUGCUCAGUUAGGCGGUUAGCCUUUUUCAACUUGACUUGCAGCUAGAGAUAAUCCCAUAAACCCAAAAGGUUUGCUGCAUUUUAUUCACUAGUCCCUGCUUAAGAAACAGUGACUAUAAUGUUUUAUACAAUGAUCUGUUUCAAUUUCAUGACCUUUUGGUAUGGUUAAGGGCUUAUAAUUUCGGCAAAUAUAUUAGGGUAAAGAAUAUUAACUUGAAGACAUUUUCUCAAAAAUUUGUGACAGUUUUAUCUCAAAAUGGGAAUGGUGUAUAAAAUGCGGUGAGGCAUUCGGGUACAGGGUGUCACCCAUAGCUGUAAACCCUUGUCAAUAUUGAUAAUUGGUUAAAUAUUUUAUUCCUUAUAGUGACCUUUAUAUUUUUUCACAUGUGUGCAUAAUGUCUGUAUUAUAUUGUUUUAUCUGUUAGGGAUUUAAAAGACAUUUAAAACAUGUACAGAUUUAUAUUAUUUCUUAAAUGACAAAAAAUGCAAGCAUUUUUAGCCCACCCUCAUCAAAUCACUCUGCGUCUGUGGUCCGUCGUCCGUCCUUCCGUCCGUUAACAAUUUCUCGUUAUCGCAUCUCCUCAGAAACUACUGGGGGGAUUUUGACCAAACUUUGUCAGAAUAUGUAUUGUUACCCUAGUUGUGUCCCCCUGAAAAUCAGACUGGUUCAAUAAUUUUUGAGUGACUUAUGGCCCUUUGUUUAUUUUUAUAAUUUACAUAGAUUUAUAUAGGGAAAAACUUUGAAAAUCUUCUUGUCCAAAACCACAGAGCUUAGGGCUUUGAUAUUUAGUAUGUGGCAUCAUCUAGUGGUCCUCUACCAAGAUGAUUCAAAUUAUUUCCCUGGGGUCAAAUAUGGCCCUGCCCCAGGGGUCACAUGGUUUAUAUAGACUUAUAUAGAGAAAAACUUUGAAAAACCUCUUGUCCAAAACCACAGGGCCUAGGGCUUUGAUAUUUUUUACUUUUAAAGCUUUUGACUUGAAACUCAAAAUAGUUAUUUACUAUCGAAGUCUUCACCAGGAGACACAAUUCCCAUAACUCUGAGUUGAAUUUUGACAGAGUUGUGCCUUUUUAACUUGGAUUUGUUUUUUACUGGCAAAGCUCUAAUUCAGAGACAAGCACCGAGAAAAGUCCAGCGCGCUGUCUUAUGGACAGCUCUUGUUUUUUAUCAUUAUUUUUAAUUUUUCAUCAAUAUUUAUAAUCAGCAUGUGAAGUUUUGUACCCUCACCCGGUCACCCCGGUUCCCCCCUCCCCCCCCCCCCCCCCCCCCCCCCCAAAACAAAAAAAGCAUUCAUUUUCUCUUAAAUUGAUUUUGACUAAUGAAAUUAUUUGCUUCUUAGUAACAUCCUCAACUUUUUGCCGGAUAUAUUUUUUGCCAUUCCUCACCACAAACUCUUUCGGCGGGGGAUACCAAUUCAUCGAAUUUGCUUGUUCAAUAUAGUUUUAUCUAUUGUGAAUGAUGAAAAUGAUUUCAAAUGAGUGCAGUUUCAGUACUUUCAAUAAAUCUAUUUUAUUGUAAAGUCAUUCAAGAAUUAUUUUUAUAAAUACAGCAUGUUAUGAAAAUAAAAUUCUUUCAUUUUGACGGGAGUGUACAAAUGGAAUUGUGGUGUUUCAUCUUAUAAGCGUGAUAUAUGAUGGAAGUUUUGUGAUACAAAUAACAGUUUAUGAAAUAUAUGAUGUUAAUAUCUGUAGUAUCGAUUCUAAGUCGAUAAAUGAUAUAUCAAAAUUGUGUAAAUACUUAAUUGCAUAAAUAGUUACGCAAAUAAUAAAAAUAUGUCAAUGAG